AUCUGGAAGAAUCUGGAGACAGGUGCUGCAUGGCGUGUCGUCAGCUCGUGUCGUGAGAUGUUGGGUUAAGUCCCGCAACGAGCGCAACCCUUGCCUUUAGUUGCCAGCAGUUCGGCUGGGCACUCUAAAGGGACUGCCGGUGUUAAACCGGAGGAAGGUGGGGAUGACGUCAAGUCCUCAUGGCCUUUAUGACCAGGGCUACACACGUACUACAAUGGCCGAUACAAAGGGCAGCGACACUGCGAGGUGAAGCCAAUCCCGUAAAAUCGGUCUCAGUCCGGAUUGGAGUCUGCAACUCGACUCCAUGAAGUUGGAAUCGCUAGUAAUCGUGGAUCAGCAUGCCACGGUGAAUACGUUCCCGGGCCUU
rnacentral:rRNA from 1 species